GUAUCAUUGAGUGAAUACAUAGCUCAAUGAAGCGAACCGGGAGAACUGAAACAUCUAAGUACCCCGAGGAAAAGAAAUCAACCGAGAUUCCGAAAGUAGCGGCGAGCGAAAUUGGAUUAGCCCUUAAGCUUUACAUGUGUUAGACGAACGGUCUGGAAAGUCCGACGAUACAGGGUGAUAGUCCCGUAGUUGACGAUGCAUGUUCAGUGAAAUCGAGUAGGGCGGGACACGUGUUAUCCUGUCUGAAUAUGGGGGGACCAUCCUCCAAGGCUAAAUACUCCUGACUGACCGAUAGUGAACCAGUACCGUGAGGGAAAGGCGAAAAGAACCCCUGUGAGGGGAGUGAAAUAGAACCUGAAACCGUGUACGUACAAGCAGUAGGAGCACCUUCGUGGUGUGACUGCGUACCUUUUGUAUAAUGGGUCAGCGACUUAUAUUCAGUGGCAAGGUUAACCGUAUAGGGGAGCCGUAGCGAAAGCGAGUCUUAACUGGGCGUUCAGUCUCUGGAUAUAGACCCGAAACCGGGUGAUCUAGCCAUGGGCAGGUUGAAGGUUGAGUAACAUCAACUGGAGGACCGAACCGACUAAUGUUGAAAAAUUAGCGGAUGACUUGAUGGCUAGGGGUGAAAGGCCAAUCAAACUCGGAGAUAGCUGGUUCUCCCCGAAAGCUAUUUAGGUAGCGCCUCGGACGAAGUACGUACUGGGGGUAGAGCACUGUUAAGCUAGGGGGUCAUCCCGACUUACCAACCCUUUGCAAACUCCGAAUACCAGUAAGUACUAUCCGGGAGACACACGGCGGGUGCUAACGUCCGUCGUGGAGAGGGAAACAACCCAGACCGCCAGCUAAGGUCCCAAAUUACAGCUAAGUGGGAAACGAUGUGGGAAGGCUUAGACAGCUAGGAUGUUGGCUUAGAAG
rnacentral:rRNA from 1 species